UACGUAGGUGGCAAGCGUUAUCCGGAAUUACUGGGUGUAAAGGGGCGCAGGCGGCCUUGCAAGUCGGAUGUGAAAGAUCAAGGCUCAACCUUGACAGGUCAUCCGAAACUGUAAGACUUGAGUGUCAGAGGGGAAGGUGGAAUUCCUAGUGGAGCGGUAAAAUGCGCAGAUAUUAGGAGGAACACCGGUGGCGAAGGCGACUUUCUGGCUGACAACUGACGCUGAGGCGCGAAAGCGUGGGGAGGCAAACAGGAUUAGAUACCCU
rnacentral:rRNA from 1 species